rnacentral:lncRNA from 1 species
CUGGAUAGAAGGACCAAUGUCUGUAUGAGAGGAGAGAUAUUUGGACACAGAUGCACACAGAAGAAAGAUAGGCAUGAAAGGAGACAGAGAUUAGGGCUGGGCUUCUAUAAACCCUGAAGCACCAAGGAUUGCCUAGUGACCACACGGCAGAGGAAGAAAAGCGGGAUUCUACCUCAGAGACUCAGAGGGGGGUGCCUGCCCCAGCCAACUCCUGGAUUUUAGACUUCUGGCUUCCAGAAAUGCAAAAGGAUAAAUUUCUGUUGCUUAAAGAUAGCUCGUUUGUGGUAACUUGUCAAAAAUGGCUUUAGGAAAGUAAUACAAGGAGAAAAAAAUGAAAUUGUAUUUUAUUUUCUUUCCUUUUCAUAGAUUUCAAGACAAGAAACACUUCUAAGGCACAUCAGGUCCUUCUGGAUCUCCACACAUGAGAAGAAUCACUGAUAAUAAGAAGGGUACAGAUAUACAAAAACAAAACAAACAAACAUUUUAAAACAACAACAACUUGACCCUGAGGUUAUAAGAAUGGAUCUUUGAAGUUGUUUCUUAGAUUUAUUGUAAUUCCUUCUAUUUGGUGGCACUUUCUACUAAUUUGGUCCUUGAGGCACCCUUUGGUGAAGAUAAAGCAGAUAAUAAAAUUCUCAAGUGGCAAAUGAAGAAACAGGUUUAGAGAGAUUAAAUGACUCAUCCAAGUUGUUCAACAAAUCAAUAUAAACACUGGAACUUGAACCUAGAUCUUCUCACUCAGUGCUUUAUUUUUAUGAUUCUGCCAUGAACCUCACAAAUGGAUUUUCAUCAUCUUUUGCUGCUGGUUCCAGUCAGAACAAGAAAACAAAGAACAGAGAUUUAAUUUGGUGUUAAGAAGCACAGAAGAUGUUUGGUACGGAAUUACAGAGAUGGUCAAGGCUCUUGUCCUGUAUGAUGCCAUCUACAACCCAAAGAGAGAGGACUCUGAAGAAACCAACCUCACCACCAACUUGAUUUCCAACUUCCACCCUCCAGGACCGUGAGAAAACAAUUUUCUGUUGUUUAAGCCACCCAGUUUGUGAUAUUUUGUUUGGCAGCCCUAAGAAACUAAAACAACACCAA